GAUCAUGGCUCAGGAUGAACGCUGGCGGCGUGCUUAACACAUGCAAGUCGAGCGAAGCACUUAGGAAAGAUUCUUCGGAUGAUUUCCUAAGUGACUGAGCGGCGGACGGGUGAGUAACGCGUGGGUAACCUGCCUCAUACAGGGGGAUAACAGUUAGAAAUGACUGCUAAUACCGCAUAAGGCCACAGCACCGCAUGGUGCAGGGGUAAAAACUCCGGUGGUAUGAGAUGGACCCG
rnacentral:rRNA from 1 species